rnacentral:rRNA from 1 species
UACGUAGGGAGCAAGCGUUGUUCGGAUUUACUGGGCGUAGAGGGCGCGUAGGCGGCAGAUCAAGUCAGCUGUGAAAUCUCCGAGCUUAACUCGGAACUGUCAGCUGAUACUGUUUUGCUAGAGUGCGGAAGGGGCAAUCGGAAUUCUUGGUGUAGCGGUGAAAUGCGUAGAUAUCAAGAGGAACACCUGAGGUGAAGACGGGUUGCUGGGCCGACACUGACGCUGAGUGCGCGAAAGCCAGGGGAGCAAACGGG